rnacentral:rRNA from 1 species
AUGCUAGCAAAGUUUACACGAGGGCCAUGUUUGAGAAGUUUGGUGAAGAGUUGUACAAAUGUGGUGCACAUGUACUGGAUGAGAUUGUUCCUAGGAGGAUUUAUAAGUCGACACAUGUUGAAGCAGCGAACAGAGAGAAAUGGAGUAAAGUCCAGUUCAAAAUUGAAGUCAAUGAGGAUGAAAGUUUUUUCAGCUGCGAGUGUGGCAUGUUUGAACAUUCUGGCUUAG